AGUGAACGCUGGCGGUAGGCCUAACACAUGCCAGUCGAACGGCAGCACAGUAAGAGCUUGCUCUUACGGGUGGCGAGUGGCGGACGGGUGAGGAAUACAUCGGAAUCUACUUUUUCGUGGGGGAUAACGUAGGGAAACUUACGCUAAUACCGCAUACGACCUACGGGUGAAAGCAGGGGAUCUUCGGACCUUGCGCGAUUGAAUGAGCCGAUGUCGGAUUAGCUAGUUGGCGGGGUAAAGGCCCACCAAGGCGACGAUCCGUAGCUGGUCUGAGAGGAUGAUCAGCCACACUGGAACUGAGACACGGUCCAGACUCCUACGGGAGGCAGCAGUGGGGAAUAUUGGACAAUGGGCGCAAGCCUGAUCCAGCCAUACCGCGUGGGUGAAGGAGGCCUUCGGGUUGUAAAGCCCUUUUGUUGGGAAAGAAAAGCAGCAGGUUAAUACCCCGCUGUUCUGACGGUACCCAAAGAAUAAGCACCGGCUAACUUCGUG
rnacentral:rRNA from 1 species